rnacentral:misc_RNA from 1 species
UAACGGAUAUACCUCACAAGGCAACGAACCAGCACGCACGGAAAAGAGGGAGGCGGUGGGCAGACAACGUCAGCGACACGCUGUAUGUGCAUCUCUGUCUGCCUUCGCUCAUUCGCACACUCCCUCCAUUCGUUGCCACCAGCACCCGUACCACAUGCAGCCCAUUAUACCUCCCUCCUCGUUUGUCCGCAUUCUUGUUCGAAACGCAUUGCCGUGAAGCCCGCAUUGAGGUAUUCACACACACACACAAUAAAGGCGGAGUGAAGGGGAACCCCCCCCCACCCCCUCCCCAGACCUGAUCUAACCUGUGGCGUUGAUCUCCCAGUCCACUUUUACAUUGCGGCGUAUUUCUCUCUCUCUUGGUCCCCUCCUGCCCUCUUCAUCCCCUCCUUCCUUUUCCUCUCAGCGUGGCUCUGCACUGCGGUCAUACGCCCCAUCAACAGGGCCGGAGGCCUCUCUCACUAUACAUAUAAAUCUAUACAAGAGUGAAAACAACGGUGCAAAAGGCGUCGUGGCACUGCUCUUACCGUUUCCGCUCUGCUCGAUCCCUCCGUCCGCCUCCCCUCCUCUCCCCGCGCUGCCCUCCUCUCUUUUUCCCUCCUGUAAUUCUGUCACCAUUGCUCGCAUCUGCGUGCGCCCUUUCUUUCCAUAUAUUUGCUCGUUCGUGGAGUCUACGAGAGAGGGGGAGGUGAGGGGUCCAACGCCGCUUUCCAGCAGGAAGAGAGGGAGGAGGUCUUCGCCGUCACCCUUGCCUGCCUGUCCGUCGGCCCUUUUCCUCCGCUCGUUUCGCGCUCACUUAACUUCUCUACUUUUUCUGAGAGGAGCAACCACUUUCUACGCCCCACACUGUGGGCGUCUGAACACUUACACGUGCAUGCACGCAUACUCGCGCUCGCGAAUACGCAAGACCGCCUAUACCGUCUGCCUGUGCUCGUGCCCGGUGUUUUCUGUGUGCCUCCCUCGUCGUGUUUUGCUUAAACCGCCUCUUCGAACUGUGCCUCUCCCUUGCUGCCGCUGUAGAACAGGGUAGCGUCCUUCGAAAAGCGGACGCCGCGCACUGUGUGUGUGCGUGUGCAGCAAUAUUCGUUCUGCCCAACCCACGAAGAAGGUUAUCCAAGGGAGCCGACGCGCCUUUGCAUUGGACUCACGUUGCGCGGACUCGCAUCCAGCGUGGGCCUGCCCCUCUCUCCGUCCCCUCUUGCUUUCUCUCGCGUUGGCCGACCUAAACCGAGCCUAGGGAACGAAUCCUGAACACCACAAGAGCAACAACAGACAUGUAUCGCACUCUCGUGCGCUUGUCGUCCCCCACCACCGUGGGUAAUGGCCGCAUGACGCGCCGCCUCACUGGCUGCACGUCUCUGCUGUGCCUUGCCUCGGCGACGGUGCAAGUAGGGUCGCUGCUACAGUCACGUCGCUUUCAUGGACACGGGGGCGACCGUAGCAAGCCAGUCGAGGUGGAGUUUACCCUCCCUGAUGGCGAGAAGAAGGUGGUGAUGGGCUACGAGGGCCAGACUCUGCUGGAUGUGUGUGCCGAGCAAGGACUACCGAUGGAAGGGGCAUGUGGUGGCUCGUGCGCCUGCUCCACCUGCCACGUGUACUUGGAGGAGAAGGACAUGGACCUCUUCCAGGAGCCUACAGACGAAGAGAACGACAUGAUUGACCAGGCGUUCUACCCGGAGCCAACGUCGCGUCUUGGCUGUCAGCUGAGUCUGAAGCGCGGCGUGCAUGAUGGGCUGAAGGUCAAGAUGCCUCGCGCUACCCGCAACAUGUACGUUGACGGCGCCAAAGUGGUGCCUCACUGAGAAUGUGCUCACGAUACGAGCGAGGAAGGCCACCACUCCCCACCAGCGGUUGCUUGUAUGCACAAAGAGAGGGAGAGAAGUGCCUUCUGGCGAGUGCAUGGGCAAGCACAUAAAUGCGUGUGCGUGGGCGCAGGCCGCGCGGCUCUUGUGCCUUCCCUCCUCCAACACACACACACACACACACACACGCAGGCACGUGCUGUUGCUGUGCGUCGUCACAGAUGCAUCGUUAUCUUGAACCUUUUUUGGCAUGAAUUCACAUACUUUCAUUCGCCGCUCGACUCUUUCUCUUACUGAGCCCCUAUCCCCGCCUCACGCACAGACACGCAAGCACAGACACACGGACUCCCUUUCUUCCGUUGUCCUUCCCUCUCCGCUAUGCCCUGGUGCACAAAAGACGGACACGGCUGCGUCGGCGGGGCUACCUUUACUUCGUUUGGUUCUCUGCCCGCUUGUUGCUCUUGUCGGUGUUAUGCGCAGCCCGCUGUUGUGCGGAUGCGGACAUGUGUGUAUGUGUGCGUGCUCGAAGCCUACACCUCCCUCUUCUUCUUCCUGUAUUUCCUGCCGCUGCCUCGUGUGUGCGCGGCUUUCCCUCCUUGGCACAUGAGUUGCGUUGGUUCGCCCUCGUUUCGACACGCUCUUGUGCGCGUACGUGUGCAUGCAGUGGCGAGCGUGAGUGCGCAACACCUGAAGGUGUCUUCUAUUUGUGAAGCGAAGAGGUGGCGGGGGGAGAGAAACAGAGACACGCCAUCGCGUUCGCAUGUGCAGAGGCGCGCCACGUCGUUGCUCUUUUCUCUCCACAUCGCGUGUGCUUGCUUUGCCGUGGGGUGCGAAGCCAUUCAACGUUUGCAGCUGAACCGCGUCGCGGUACCGAACGCCGAAGGGAGCAAGCGGAGACCUGUGCCGGCGAUGCCGAUGGUGAUGCAUGUGCGUGCGUGCCUUACCUAGAUGCGUUGCUGGCCGUGAUAGCAUCACUAUG